rnacentral:rRNA from 1 species
GACGAACGCUGGCGGCGUGCUUAACACAUGCAAGUCGAACGGAAAGGCCCUGCUUUUGUGGGGUGCUCGAGUGGCGAACGGGUGAGUAACACGUGAGUAACCUGCCCUUGACUUUGGGAUAACUUCAGGAAACUGGGGCUAAUACCGGAUAGGAGCUCCUGCUGCAUGGUGGGGGUUGGAAAGUUUCGGCGGUUGGGGAUGGACUCGCGGCUUAUCAGCUUGUUGGUGGGGUAGUGGCUUACCAAGGCUUUGACGGGUAGCCGGCCUGAGAGGGUGACCGGCCACAUUGGGACUAAGAUACGGCCCAGACUCCUACGGGAGGCAGCAGUGGGGAAUAUUGCACAAUGCGCUGAAGCCGGAUGCAGCAACGCCGCGUGCGGGAUGACGGCCUUCGGGUUGUAAACCGCUUUCGCCUGUGACGAAGCGUGAGUGACGGUAAUGGGUAAAGAAGCACCGGCUAACUACGUG